AUACGUAGGGUGCGAGCGUUAUCCGAAAUCAUUGGGCGUAAAGCGAUCGAAGGUGGAAAAAUAGGUCUGAUGUUAAAUACCCACGGCUCAACCGGGGAAUCGUAUUGGAAACCAUUUUUCUAGAGGAAGACAGAGGCAGGUGGAAUUUCUAUUGUAGGGGUUAAAUCCGUAGAUAAUAGAAGGAACACCAGUGGCGAAGGCGGCUUACUGGCUCGAUACUGACGCUGAGGCGCGAAAGCGUGGGGAGCAAACAGGAUUAGAAACCCUGGUAGUCC
rnacentral:rRNA from 1 species